rnacentral:lncRNA from 1 species
UUCAGAGAAGAUAAAGUAACCCCAAAGACACAACUGGAUAGAAGUUGAUCUAGGGCUAGAAACCAGCUCUCCCAACCUAGGGAUCAGGGUUCCUCACUGUCCCCCAAUGCCACUGGAACCUGAAAUGGCACGGCCUGGUCUGGAGGACGUUGAGGAGCAUAAAUUAGGCAGAGGAAGGAGUGUGGGUACGGGGAGUGUUCCAGGUGGAAGGAACAGCACUUCAAGGCCUUGAGGAAGGAGCCAGAGUGGUGCUUCCUGAGAACCAAAACAGGCCAGGAAGGCUGGGCCACGGAAAGCAACGUGGGGGCUGGUGUGAGGUGGGACUGGAUUAUGAAGAGCUCCGAGAGCUCACUUGCCACUUCUUCAACGGGACCUGCCUACCUCCAGCAGCAGAUUCCUUCCUGAAGAGCGUCAGCACACUCUCUCCCGUGGACUUCCGCUGUACCCAAUGGCACUGACCUUUGAGCCACUGGUGGCGGUGUGGGGGGAGGCACGGGAUUAACUCUUGUUCCGAUCUAAUCCUUCGAGGAGAGGAACCAACUGACCAUCGUCCUACUAUCAGAACCGAGUGUGAGAUGGGAACGUGGGGGUGCUGGUUGAAUAUACAAUCAACUUUGAAUAAAGAGGACAAUCAGGGCCACAUGUGUCUCUUCCUUUUCAUGCUCCCUCUGAAGUAAGGUCUUCUCUUACCAGCAUUUCCUUCU